UCGCACAUAAGCUGGUCAUUUUGUUGUUGAGACACAAUUCCGGGGAGGUUUUGUAACAAGCAUGUAGUGGCAAGCUCAAUCGAGGAUGGGGAAAUGGACAUUAGGUUUGUGAAAAAGGACACUGCCUCCGCUCCAAUGGCUUGGUCAUCCUCAACAUAGGCACCCUGUGAGUUUUUUAUCCGGCAGAUUGAGAGCUUUGCAUGCUUG
rnacentral:lncRNA from 1 species